AAAGCUCUGUUGUUAGGGAAGAACAAGUGCGAGAGUAACUGCUCGCACCUUGACGGUACCUAACCAGAAAGCCACGGCUAACUACGUGCCAGCAGCCGCGGUAAUACGUAGGUGGCAAGCGUUGUCCGGAAUUAUUGGGCGUAAAGGGCUCGCAGGCGGUUUCUUAAGUCUGAUGUGAAAGCCCCCGGCUCAACCGGGGAGGGUCAUUGGAAACUGGGAAACUUGAGUGCAGAAGAGGAGAGUGGAAUUCCACGUGUAGCGGUGAAAUGCGUAGAGAUGUGGAGGAACACCAGUGGCGAAGGCGACUCUCUGGUCUGUAACUGACGCUGAGGAGCGAAAGCGUGGGGAGCGAACAGGAUUAGAUACCCUGGUAGUCCACGCCGUAAACGAUGAGUGCUAAGUGUUAGGGGGUUUCCGCCCCUUAGUGCUGCAGCUAACGCAUUAAGCACUCCGCCUGGGGAGUACGGUCGCAAGACUGAAACUCAAAGGAAUUGACGGGGGCCCGCACAAGCGGUGGAGCAUGUGGUUUAAUUCGAAGCAACGCGAAGAACCUUACCAGGUCUUGACAUCCUCUGACAACCCUAGAGAUAGGGCUUUCCCUUCGGGGACAGAGUGACAGGUGGUGCAUGGUUGUCGUCAGCUCGUGUCGUGAGAUGUUGGGUUAAGUCCCGCAACGAGCGCAACCCUUGAUCUUAGUUGCCAGCAUUUAGUUGGGCACUCUAAGGUGACUGCCGGUGACAAACCGGAGGAAGGUGGGGAUGACGUCAAAUCAUCAUGCCCCUUAUGACCUGGGCUACACACGUGCUACAAUGGACAGAACAAAGGGCUGCGAGACCGCAAGGUUUAGCCAAUCCCAUAAAUCUGUUCUCAGUUCGGAUCGCAGUCUGCAACUCGACUGCGUGAAGCUGGAAUCGCUAGUAAUCGCGGAUCAGCAUGCCGCGGUGAAUACGUU
rnacentral:rRNA from 2 species